rnacentral:rRNA from 1 species
AGAGUUAAAUAGCACGUGAAAUUGUUGAAAGGGAAACGAUUGAAGCCAGUCGUACUGACGGGUAAUCAACCUUUCGGGAGCGAUUCUGUGGGUUAUGUUGAGCCUCACGGCCCUCAUGGUCCGCAUAUUUGUCCCCUUUGGGUGUACUUACCUGGUAGUAGGUUAACAUCAAUUUCGGUCGUCAUAAAAUGACGGGAGGAAUGUAGCUUCGACCUCGGUUGAAGUGUUAUAGCCUCUGGUAGAUGUGAUGAUCGGGAUUGAGGAUUGCAACGGAUACCCUUUGGGCUACCCGUCUGAUCUCUGAUGGUUGCUCUGGUGCCGAAAGCGUGCUUACGGUCAUCAAAGUUUGAUCGUCAAAAGGUUAGAACGGGUUAAAUUCGUUAAGGAUGUUGACGUAAUGGCUUUAAACGACC